GGCAACUUGGCCGAGCGGUCUAAGGCGCCACGUUAAGGUGUAUCCUUGAUAUCAAACCCCCCAUGGGUUCCGUGGUCCGAAAGGGCGUGAGUUCGAAUCUCACAGUUGUCA